AACAGGAUUAGAUACCCUGGUAGUCCACGCCCUAAACGAUGUCGACUGGUUGUUGGGGAAGGCAACUUCCAUAGUAACGAAGCUAACGCGUGAAGUCGACCGCCUGGGGAGUACGGCCGCAAGGUUAAAACUCAAAGGAAUUGACGGGGACCCGCACAAGCGGUGGAUGAUGUGGAUUAAUUCGAUGCAACGCGAAGAACCUUACCUACCCUUGACAUGCCAGGAAGCCCGAUGAGAGUUGGGUGUGCCCGAAAGGGAACCUGGACACAGGUGCUGCAUGGCUGUCGUCAGCUCGUGUCGUGAGAUGUUGGGUUAAGUCCCGCAACGAGCGCAACCCUUGUCACUAGUUGCUACGCAAGAGCACUCUAGUGAGACUGCCGGUGACAAACCGGAGGAAGGUGGGGAUGACGUCAAGUCCUCAUGGCCCUUAUGGGUAGGGCUUCACACGUCAUACAAUGGCGCAUACAGAGGGCUGCCAACCCGCGAGGGGGAGCCAAUCCCAGAAAGUGCGUCGUAGUCCGGAUUGUUCUCUGCAACUCGAGAGCAUGAAGUCGGAAUCGCUAGUAAUCGCGGAUCAGCAUGUCGCGGUGAAUACGUUCCCGGGUCUUGUACACACCGCCCGUCACACCAUGGGAGUGGGUUUCACCAGAAGCAGCUAGCCUAACCGCAAGGGGGGCGGCUACCACGGUGAGAUUCAUGACUGGGGUGAAGUCGUAACAAGGUAACC
rnacentral:rRNA from 1 species